AGAGUUUGAUCAUGGCUCAGAAUCAACGCUGGCGGCGUGCCUAACACAUGCAAGUCGAACGCGAAAGCCCCGCAAGGGGUAAGUAGAGUGGCAAACGGGUGAGUAACACGUGGGUGACCUGCCUUCGAGUGGGGGAUAACGUCCCGAAAGGGACGCUAAUACCGCAUAACAUCCUGCCUUUGAAGAGGUGGAGAUCAAAGCUGGGGACCGCAAGGCCUAGCGCUCAAAGAGGGGCCCGCGCCUGAUUAGCUAGUUGGUGGGGUAAUGGCUCACCAAGGCAACGAUCAGUAUCCGGCCUGAGAGGGCGGACGGACACACUGGGACUGAGACACGGCCCAGACUCCUACGGGAGGCAGCAGUGGGGAAUUGUUCGCAAUGGGCGCAAGCCUGACGACGCAACGCCGCGUGGAGGAUGAAGACCUUCGGGUCGUAAACUCCUUUCGAUCGAGACGAACAGCUUCCGGGUGAACAAUCCGGAGGUUUGACGGUACCGAGAGAAGAAGCCCCGGCUAACUCCGUGCCAGCAGCCGCGGUA
rnacentral:rRNA from 1 species